CAGAGUGAGACCCUGUCUCAAAAAUAAAAAAUAAAAUAAAAUAAAAUAAAAUAAUCAAUCACCAAAGCCGUUGUGAAGGGCAUUAGAAACUGACAAAAUAACUGUGUAGAAGACAACCAAGUUGUCUUAGAUCCCAGAAAUAGUGGGGCUCCAAAGUGCUGCCAACCUAAUGAAGGGUGUCUCUUUAGCCAGAGAUGACUGGAGGCAGAGCUACCCACAGCCCGACCACUUCUACCUGAGCUCUUAUUGAGGAUGCAAAAAGCCAAAACCCUUUCAUGCAGCUGUUGAGAAGUCCAAACAAGUUCAGAAUCCUGAUCUUUUGUGUGUGGCCUAUAUUUUCUCUCUCUAGCAACUUGGGAAACCUUCUAUUUGUCCUUGUAUUGGGAAAAGUUUCUGCCAGAACCAAGAACCACUGUCCAGUCUUGCUCUGUCACCCAGGCUGGAGUGCGGUGG